AUUGAGUUCCCCUCACCUGCCUCCAAUCAAACAACCAUGUUUUUUCUCCUCCUCAUGAAAUCUACUGAAGAAGAUGUAGGGGUUUGACAGGAACAAUUUUGAUGAAAGAAGAGGGUAGCUGCAGUGAAUACAUAGAAUUCAUAUCCAGGCCUCUGCUGUCAGUAUGGGUUGUGAAGGUCCCCUUCAUUCCAAAAUGAUCAGCGUUUACUCACAGGUGCGUCCGGCCAGUCCCCACAUUCAGAGGUGCAACAGCUCCGUGGAGUCUGGAGGAGACAGAUGAAGAUGCAGAGGAGGAGAUGAAACAUCCUGCAGGGAUCAUUGUGCUGAAGGAUUACGAGGGGCAGGAAGAGGAUUUCAGCUGACUGUUUCUCCUCUGCCUGGGCGUCUCGGAGGAGAGCACCUGACUGCUGAAGGACACUUUACCUGCACGGAUCGGCUGGAUUAUUACCUGAGUGACACCUGGGAUGGCUGCUGCUGUGGAUUAUUACAGAUUAGUUCCUGAUUUAAUGAGGCUGUCACCUGAAGUGUCUUCCUGCGUUUUGGAGACCGGGCGCGCGGAAAGAAGACAGCGGAGCUCCAGACAGGCAGCGGGGCUCCGCGAGGGCUGCACGCCGAGCGAAGCGCGCCGGCUGCCGGAUUGAAACCGCGGGGACUACCGGGCAUGGAAGUGCGGGGGGGGCGGCGGUGGACCUGCGGAGGGAAGCCGGCUCGGCGCUUCACCGCCGCCGACGGGAGCUCCGUCCCGGACAAGUUGAGGCUUCCUCGCCGGGUGGGGGUGGAGAAGCGAGAGGAAGAUACGGAGGAGGUUGCGAGAAAAAUGGCAUCUUGUUUAAUUUCUGCCAAUCAAGACGAGAGGAAGACAACUCCCAAACUGGCAUGACAUAACAGAAGAGCGAAGACACGAUCGAGACACCCGGACAAAGCAUGAACUGGACGGCAAAUAAGAACUGGAGCAGCGGCUGCUGUAAUCUCCACUGUUCAAUUAGCUGCACUGACCGGGACACCACCUACACUUCAUUAACAAGGAGGGGAAGGUGAUGCUGAUGGUGUAACAUCGAGCCAGUCAGACUACAACAGGCGGAGGGUUAACGAGAGCUUCCUGUCAGCAGUGAGAGCCGUUUCCAGGUGAAGCAAACUGAAUUAAAGGGAAUCAAGCCGAACUGAUCUGAACUGGAAUAACCUGGACUGAACUGAAAGGAAAGCCUCAGUCGGACACGACACACAGCAGCGCUCUGAUGUUUUUUAGGGGGGGAGAAAUGUUCAGGCAGAGAACUACCCUGGAAUAAUACAGAACACCUUCUGUCACUGGUGCAUGCUGGUUUGGGGGGUGUCCUCUGUAGAUGUCCUGUCUUAUUUUCAAUAAAUGGUGUUUGAGCUGGAGUAAGUCUAAAAACCCAGCCAUGAGUUUCAACACUGUACAAUGACAUCUCUCUCUCUUUCUCUGUUUUCUACAGCACUUAUUUUCUUAAGUGAUCAUUUGCGCAGUGUAAAAUUUACUUGACAAGAAUGCUGUCUCUGUCUAAUAAAUGUAAUCCUGUUUUGUUUUUUACGUGUAACCAUGAACAGGUGAAUACUUGAUAGAUUCUCAUGACUGGAGGGCUGACCCCAACCUGCAUGAUAUCAUAUAAUCAGUGUUGGGAUGUAACUAAAAGAAUUUACGCCAGUACUGUAUUUUGUACAAAAGUGCAGUUUUGAGGUAAUUGUACUUUACUUGAGUAUUUCCAUUGUCUGCUACAUUAUACUUCCACUCCACUACAUGUUCAAGGAAAACAUCACACUUUUGCUCCGCUGCAAUUUUUAAUAAACUUUAGUUACAGUGACUUUGUAGAUAACGUGCUCUCAUCAGCCAAAAAAUGGAUUUUAUUGUAUCUGCAAUCGAAUAAAAAAAGAAAAAGAAAAGAAAAACAAGAAAAAUGCUGACUAUGAUGUAGAGCAACUGGCCGGGUCGAUACUGUAACUGCUCGACACACUGGUGUGAACAGCCCUUAAAAGUCUAAAGCAAUUGAAAGGUUGAGCUGGAGCUGUAUUUCAGGUUGUUUGGCACAAAGAGUUCCAGGAAUAGUUUGGAAUAGUUUGGGUCCCUCGUACUCGUGGCCAGAAGGACACUGAGGUUUACUUCGAUUUUAAGAUGGGAAGAAGUUUGGGGAAAGUCAAAUUAUUACACUUCAUCUUCUAAAGGAAACCUUUGUAUGUUAUGAUUUUAGUUUUAAGUUCAUCAUCAAAUUUCCCACUACACUUGAACAUGCACUUAAAGUUAUAUACAAAUAUGAAUUUUUGUUUAAAAAAUCAAACAUUAUGCCAAACUAAAAUUAUGAACAGACUGAGAAGAAACAGUUCAGUUUUGACAUUAUGAAUGUGUCCAUGUGUUGUGUUGCAGAGAUACUUACUGAAGUAGGUACGCUAACGAGCUAGCAGCGGCCCGAUACUGUCUCCAUUUUGUGCCUCAAGAGGCGAGAGUCUGGAAUAUGUUUCUGUUGUUUUCUGUCCAGAUCCUUGAGCUCUGUGUGUAUUUACUGCUGUACUGUGGAGUAAAAAACUAAAGCACCUUCUCAUUUCAUAUACAUUUAAUAAAGAUGAAAUCAUCUUAAAGCUG